rnacentral:rRNA from 1 species
AUGAACGCUGGCGGCGUGCCUAAUACAUGCAAGUCGAGCGAACAGACGAGGAGCUUGCUCCUCUGACGUUAGCGGCGGACGGGUGAGUAACACGUGGAUAACCUACCUAUAAGACUGGGAUAACUUCGGGAAACCGGAGCUAAUACCGGAUAAUAUAUUGAACCGCAUGGUUCAAUAGUGAAAGACGGUUUUGCUGUCACUUAUAGAUGGAUCCGCGCCGCAUUAGCUAGUUGGUAAGGUAACGGCUUACCAAGGCGACGAUGCGUAGCCGACCUGAGAGGGUGAUCGGCACCACUGGAACUGAGACACGGUCCAGACUCCUACGGGAGGCAGCAGUAGGGAAUCUUCCGCAAUGGGCGAAAGCCUGACGGAGCAACGCCGCGUGAGUGAUGAAGGUCUUCGGAUCGUAAAACUCUGUUAUUAGGGAAGAACAAAUGUGUAAGUAACUAUGCACGUCUUGACGGUACCUAAUCAGAAAGCCACGGCUAACUACGUG